rnacentral:rRNA from 1 species
CUGAACCAGCCAAGUAGCGUGAAGGAUGACUGCCCUAUGGGUUGUAAACUUCUUUUAUAAAGGAAUAAAGUCGGGUAUGCAUACCCGUUUGCAUGUACUUUAUGAAUAAGGAUCGGCUAACUCCGUGCCAGCAGCUGCGGUAAUACGGAGGAUCCGAGCGUUAUCCGGAUUUAUUGGGUUUAAAGGGAGCGUAGAUGGAUGUUUAAGUCAGUUGUGAAAGUUUGCGG